AUAAUUAUCACUCACAAGACAAACAAUAGGAGAAGCUAAUUAGGAAAACUCAUUGGGAAGUAACUAGAAGAGGAAUGAUCUGAGUCCGAGUAAGGGAGACGUCUUUGCCACCGCGUUCUUCACCUGUUUUCCGAAAUUACUAGUUGCGAUCUACGAUUUGGCUGGUUAUCUUUUCUUUUGUUCGGUGCCGCGGGGGAUGGAGGAUGGUGGCCUAUGAGAGGAGGCGUGGAGCAAAUCGGGAAAGCCCUUAGCCAGAGGAGCUACCACGACCUGGCUCUUAUGGUCAGUGACUUCCUCGAGAACAUAGGCGGUUGCAAAGCUGAAUAGUGAUUCAAGAUUUUCUGAUCUCUCUCACCAAGGGGACAAACUCUCGUCAUUAUUAUCAGGCAAUCGCUGACUUUUGGAAGAUUUCGUGAACAGUUGUUCGUGUGGUUAGUGGCCGAAUUUGGAAUUGUUUCGCUUCUCUCUUGCAGUUCCUCCUCCUCAAAAACUUCUGCCUUUUUUAAAAAUUGGGUAUAGUUCACGUCUUUUUGGAGGUAUGUUUGUGUUGACAGUGAUGUAUUGUGCCAAACAGUGCGCAAUCAAUUUUAUUUUGUUUCAUGGUGUUGCGUGACUGUCGUUGCUGCGUCUAUCUAUUGACUUCAUCCGGGUGUUUCCAUUAUCUAUUAUUUUGUUGGAUCAAUUGCUCCCCCUUUUCAUUAAUUUUUUGCUGUCUGAUUCCUUGCCUAUAAAAUUUAGGGUUGGAUUGGUUAUUUGUUUGUGCAGCUGAUUUUGGAUGGCUUUUACAGCUUUGGUGAGACCAUAAUCAAUGUUUGAUCGUGCUGGCUAUGUAAUUAAAAUAAAUAGGUGGGUAGAGCUGCUGGUACUAGAUGGGAAUUGAUGUUAGCUGCUUAUGAAGCUCUCCUUAUGCUGGGAAAGUAUAGAAGAAAAGAAGUAAUUACAAUAAGAAUAUGGAAGCUUACAAUGAAUGGUACUUAUUGAAAUUGAAAUAUCUCUUUGCAAUCAUGGAUGUUUACAGUAUUUUUUUUGUGGGGAUUACAACUUUUACUUCUUUUAAAAGGAAGAUGAAGAGGAAACUGGAGAGGUUUUUGUUUAUUCAAUAACUUGCAAUGUUUAUUUCUUUUCGUCACCUUUUCACUCCUUCAAUAAAUGGUUCAAGGACUGGUAGUGAGUCAUAGGUGGGAUUAUGAAGCAAUUUAUUAUAAACUGCUCAAAAUAUGGUUAAUUUACCCUUUAGGUUUAAUAUUAUCGCAUGGUAGUUUGACAGUCUGCCUCUUAGACUAGCUUAGGACAAAAAGAAGGGGUUAGUUUCUGCAUCUUCCUGGUGUUUCGUCUGGAUCUGUGCUCGACCCGAAAAGCAAACCCUAAUUGCGAAGAAACGGAACCAAAAACCUUAAUCGACAGAUGGAUUAGAGAAUUAAGUUUAUUUGGACUAUGCCAAUUUUUUGGACUAUGCACCUAUCUCUUCUAUGCAGGUCUUGGCCAUGGUUUAGGGGUCUGUGUUACUGUCUCUGUGAGGCGUGUUCAACUGCUGAGGUAGCUCUGUCCGAUAUCAAACUUUUUGUUCAGCCUGUGUCCUUCAAAGUCAGAAUGUUCUAUUGUUUUUUGAAUAAAACUUUUUUAUGCAAACACCAUUGGAUUUGCAUGUUAAACUUUGUCGCUGUAGGUUAAGGCCUUAAAAUUGGUUGUUCACACUUCACAGCAAGAAAAGAGGGUAUUUUCUGCUUCUUUUUCCAAUUUAUUAUUUCUCAUGUGAUUUGGCUUUCUUCUUCAUCAUCUUUUUCACAUCUCUUUCAGAUAUAAUUAUGAAAUCUGCAACAAUAUGCAUCUCUUUGAGAUAUAAUUAUGAAAUUUGUAAUAAUGGUGUGCUCCCAUUUAGCUUCCAAAGAGUAAAAAAUGAUGAAAUUAUUGAUCUUCCGCCACAAAGCGUGGGUGAUGACCUAGUCCUAGUAUAUAUUAUAAUCAAAUCUAUUUGCAGAUAAUGUUUUGGUUUUCACUAUUUUUUUCUAAACAUAAGUUGGAGUUGCUUAUGCAAUUCAUCUUUGCCAAUGAAAAUGUUCCAAGACAAGCCAAAUGCCCAUGCAUCAAAUGCCUAUGCAUGUCUCUCAAUUUGUUAAAGUAUGAAAAUCUUCAAACUUCUAUUUUGAUUUUGCUCAUUAAUAGAUCUUUGAUCAUCUUUGGGUGUUCUGUCUUUUAUCAUAUUUGGGUGUUCUGAUCUGAUUGGUAUCAAUCAUUUUUUGGAUUGAGUUCCAGGAUAUGUUGCCUUUAUUGCAUUAUACUGGGAUGGA